rnacentral:RNase_P_RNA from 1 species
AGAGUUGGUCAGACAAUCGCUCUUUGUUUUGCAAAGGGAGGAAAGUCCGGGCUCCAGAGGGUAGAGUGCCAGGUAACGCCUGGGAGGUGUGAACCUACGGAAAGUGCCACAGAAAAUAUACCGCCUCUUAGAGGUAAGGGUGAAAUGGUGCGGUAAGAGCGCACCGCGCGUCUGGUAACAGACGUGGCAGGGAAAACCCCACUCGGAGCAAGACCAAAUAGGAGUCCAUUUGACUGAAAAGUCAUUACGUGUGACCCGCACGGGAUUCGGGUAGGUCGCUUGAGGCAUGUGGUGACGCAUGUCCCAGAUGAAUGAUUGUCCAUGACAGAACCCGGCUUAUCGACUGACUCUUUUU